AUUGAACGCUGGCGGCAGGCCUAACACAUGCAAGUCGAGCGGAUGAAGGGAGCUUGCUCCUGGAUUCAGCGGCGGACGGGUGAGUAAUGCCUAGGAAUCUGCCUGGUAGUGGGGGAUAACGUCCUGAAACGGGCGCUAAUAACGCAUACGUCCUGAGGGAGAAAGUGGGGGGUCUUCGGACCUCACGCUAUCAGAUGAGCCUAGGUCGGAUUAGCUAGUUGGUGGGGUAAAGGCUUACCAAGGCGACGAUCCGUAACUGGUCUGAGAGGAUGAUCAGUCACACUAGAACUGAGACACGGUCCAGACUCCUGCGGGAGGCAGCAGUGGGGAAGAUUGGACAAAGGGCGGAAGCCUGAUCCAGCCAUGCCGCGUGUGUGAAGAAGGUCUUCGGAUUGUAAAGCACGUUAAGUUGGGAGGAAGGGCAGUAAGUUAAUACCUUGCUGUUUUGACGUUACCAACAGAAUAAGCACCGGCUAACUUCGUG
rnacentral:rRNA from 1 species